GGUGGCUCAGCGCUAGAGCGCUAGCCUUGCAUGCAUGAGGCCCUGGGUUCGAUUCCCUAGCACCA
rnacentral:tRNA from 1 species